UACGUAGGGUGCGAGCGUUGCCCGGAUUUAUUGGGCGUAAAGGGCGCGUAGGCGGUCACGCACGUCCGUUGUGAAAUCGCUCGGCUCAACUGGGCGGGGUCAGCGGAUACGGCGUGGCUCGAGCAAGCUAGGGGGCAAUGGAAUUCCCGGUGUAGUGGUGGAAUGCGUAGAUAUCGGGAGGAACACCAGUGGCGAAGGCGGUUGCCUGGAGCUUUGCUGACGCUGAUGCGCGAAAGCGUGGGGAGCGAUCCGG
rnacentral:rRNA from 1 species